rnacentral:rRNA from 1 species
GAUGAACGCUGACAGAAUGCUUAACACAUGCAAGUCGAUGGGGAAGUGGUGCUUGCACCAUGGCAACCAUGGCGGACGGGUGAGUAACGCGUAAGGGACUUACCUGCAGGACUGGGAUAACAGGGGGAAACUCCUGACAAGACCGGAUAAUGUCAUGGAGCUGCAUGGCUUUAUGAUGAAAGGAGACGCCUGCGGAGAGCCUUGCGUCCUAUUAGCUAGUUGGUGAGGUAAUGGCUCACCAAGGCGAAGAUAGGUAGCCGGCCUGAGAGGGUGGACGGCCACAAGGGGACUGAGAUGCGGCCCUUACUCCUACGGGAGGCAGCAGUGGGGAAUAUUGGACAAUGGGGGCAACCCUGAUCCAGCAAUUCUGUGUGCACGAAGAAGGUUUUCGGAUUGUAAAGUGCUUUCAGCAGGGAAGAAGUAAGUGACGGUACCUGCAGAAGAAGCGACGGCUAAAUACGUG